GACAUUUUUUUCCCUCCUUCUCUCUCUCUUUUUCCCUCUUUUUCCCUUUUCUUUUCUUUUCUUUUCUUUUCUUUUCUUUUCUUUUCUUUUCUUUUCUUUUCUUUUCUUUUCUUUUCUUUUCUUUUCUUUUCUUNNNNNNNNNNNNNNNNNNNNNNNNNNNNNNNNNNNNNNNNNNNNNNNNNNNNNNNNNNNNNNNNNNNNNNUUCUCUUCUCUUCUCUUCUCUUCUCUUCUCUUCUCUUCUCUUCUCUUCUCUUCUCUUCUCUUCUCUUCUCUUCUCUUCUCUUCUCUUCUUUCUUCCUUUUAUUUUUUUCACAUAUCAAUUUUAUUUUUUCUUUCUUUUCUCCCCCCCUCCCUUGUUGCAUGGUCCCAGGGAGGGAGGGGCAAAUGAGCUUCUUGCACAAGGAGCCGCCACAUACAACUGCCAGCAAAAAAAAAAAAAAAAAAAAAAGAUUUUUCACAAAUUCAGGAAACACUUGAGAGGCAAAACCAACAUCCUGGCGCAGGAGACGAGGCCAGCUCCUGACAGCGGGCUGGCCCGCCUGGCCCGGGGAGGCCUGCAGCCAGGAAAUGGCCGCUGCAGGGUCAGGCCAUGGGGGACCCCGCGCCCGGGCGGGCCCCGUGCCCCUCGCCACGCACCGGCAAAACCAACAGACCUCUUCAUGGGAAAUGUGCUGAAAAAUGGGGAACUUGUCCUCACAGCGGCAAGGCAGAUGGAACAAUAAAUCACAGGAACCAUUGACUGCCUGCAGUGUACUCUCCGCAGCUGUCACUUUUUUGUCUCUUUGGUUUUAGCUGACAUGGUUUGAGGUCCACUGUGAACCAAUCUGGACUUUUUUUUUACCGUCAUAUCCAUCAAAACGACCAGUAGCCAUCAACCUACUGCAGCGAUCGAUUCGUUUGCUUAUUCUCACGCAUAAGCCAAUACCCAGCUCACUAGGUGAGGCUUGGGAGAAGCACCUCAUUUUAGCUUUUUUUUUUUCCCCCCUCUUUCUUUCUUUCUUUCUUUCCCUUUUUUUUUUUUUUUUUUCCUUUUGCCUCCAGCUACAGCUGUGAUUUUCUGAGCAGUCUUGGCUAACGUUAUUAAAGUUGCAUCAUGAUAGAUAUAGAGCAGAGCAGAUAACGGUCUCCACGCACAACAACAGAAAAAUAAUAACAACCGUGGGUUUCGCUGUUGUUGUCAGUGUUGCUUUUCAGGUGUACUGAGACGCUUGCUAAGCUCGGAGUUUCCAACUCAUUGCUUAUUUUGCAAAGUAAACAAGCAAAUGUUAUGUGCAUAACCUUAGCUGUCUCUGCAAAGGUCAGUGUGUGGCUGCUAAUUUCUUCUCCUGCCUUUUGGUGGCACUCUGAUGCCAGCGAUUACUUCUGGCGUGUUUGGGAAACAAGACGUCCUUUCUUAACAAAAGACUCAAUCUACAAAGGCCGCAAAACAAAAAUUGAUUAAAGUUGAACCAUAGUAUGAAAGUUUACUUCGGUGUAUCAAAUAGCCCGGUAAGCACUACGUAGCAGCUCAUCUGUAACGGGGGCCGUGGGGUUGUCACUGGGUGCAACUGGGACUGCGCGGACAGGUUGGUGAAAUGGGGGGGGUUACUUCACACUCAAACAAUGCGUGUCUCCUCGACCCACGUACAUAUGUGUGCAUAUGUAUGGGCAGAGCUGCCUGUCAGAUGUCGUGGUUUGGCCUCAGUUUGUGACCUGAGCCAUCGCAAAGUGCCUUUUGCCUUUUAUAAAAGUACAUUCUUCGAAGCACUCUGUCUCAGAUAUUAACAGGGACUGAACUUCAGACCACAUUUUGGAAAGCAAUUGUUUUGCAGUAUAAAUAGAAGCAAGGAGAUGUGUGGAUAAUACAGUGGUAGGUUUUUUCUUCUUUUUUUUUUUUUUAAAUGUCAAAAAAACCUGCUUGCUUUAAAAACCUUCAGUUAGGUCAAGUUAAAUUUAUUAUAUAUAAUUUUUUUUAUAGCUGAACUCCAUGAUUUUGACUAGAGGUGACAGCUGAAAAGCACCAGAAACCCUUGGAAUUUUAGAUCUAUAUAUUACUAUAAAGGAAGAAAAUAAAGUUCCGCUAGUAGAAGGUAGGUAAUUGCA
ensembl:lncRNA